UGCCCAGAGGCCCAAAUCCUAAACCUUUAUUCCCGUAAGAAAGGACGAUGGUAGGGACCUCAACAGAACUUUGGUCAUGAGAAGCCUGUUUGCAAAGCUGGACUUCUGAUAUUUCGUGCAAGACUGUUUUGCACGUUUUCUGCACAAUUAUAAUUUGAGCAUAUUACUACAAAUUUAAUAACUGAUUUCUACUACACCAAGAUAACGAUCCUGCAGUUAGGGGAGAUGGAAAAUCAAAACAACUGUUGAACUCCAGAAAGAUCAAGGAUGUCAGUCCAAUCAUCCCUCGUUUACACUGCUGAUCUAGAUGACAGAGUAUCGACAAAACCUUGUCUCCUAGGAAACAUCAUGGAGAUGAAAAAAAAACAAAUCAGCUCAUAAAACUUCUCUGCACAAUGUCAGUCCAAAGCUUGCAACAAUAUUUAAAGUAAUGUCAGGGUUACUAAAUGUUUGGGAGUUUGAAGCUAGCUGAUGUGAACUAUAGCCAUUUCCUAAUUUACCCUAUUCUACUUUUGAUCAUCACUACAGCAGUCAAAAUGUCCAAAGUAUUGUGGUUCAAAAAUAGAUCUAUACUACUCAAAGCUUACAAGCAGGGCCAGACACAGGCAUGGGCUAACCAGGCAGCUGCCUGGGGCCUGGACAGAAAGGGGGCCCAAAAAAUGAAAACACCGUUUCAAGUUACAA